GUCUACGGCCAUGUCACCCUGAACAAGCCCAAUGUCUGAUCUCAGAAGCUAAGCAGGGGUGGGCCUGGUUAGUACUUGAAUGGAGACCAUCUAGGAAGACCAGAUGCUGUGGGAG
rnacentral:rRNA from 1 species